UUCCAUUGCUACUAUUAUUUGCAUAAUUUAAUGUAUGAUUGUCAUCUUAAAACUAUCUUACCAUUGCUUUCUUUGGCUCAAGGCUGGAGCGCUGCAAUCUCUGCUAUGUGGAACUUGAGAAAUUGAAAUGCUCCCUUCCAGCUCUUUCAAGAAGAGGGGGUAAUAUCGCCAAAUCAGCACAGGAACUGAAUCUGGCGCUUCAGGAAGUUUGAGUGUCUAAUGUUCACACUAUAUCAGCACUAUACAGACGGGGCAGACGGAAUUGGGACUGCAGAUUCUGAAUCUGUGGAAAUGCCCUAAUUUGUUAUGCUUGAAAGAUGAUUGUGCUUGUAAAUUCGUGCUCAGAGGGAUUAUUGACCUGAUUCUUUAUCUUAACUUAAAGUUAGGUGAUGGACGACCUGCCACUCAAAACAGCUAGUGGCUGAAGCUUCAUCAGUGGACGCAGAUCCAUUCUUAUUGUUUUGUUGUCUUAACCCAAACGUCAACUUGGUAUUCUCGAGUGAAGAUGAAUUGGUUGUAGUUUAGAGAGAUUUGUGCAGACACGGGUCCUAUCUGAGGUAGUAUAGCUCUUCAUACUGAAUGAAUUGAAGGGCAUAGAGCAAGUUUGCUUUGUAUGAUGAUGUAAGAGUGUUUUGAUAUGCCAAUGUUUUUAACUAAGAAAGAUAUGCUGUAUCCUCGAGCAAUAACCUUUACCAUUCUCCUAAAUAUAUAUAUAUAUAUAUAUAGUGCUUUAUUGGCCUAUAUUUUGUUU